AUUGUCCUAGGUCUGUUGGUCUUGCUCCGGUAUUUGAGAAAUAUUAUUGACUGAAUAUUUCCACAACAUAAAUGGCGAGCUUGCCAGGAGUGGCGAAAAGGGACCAGAGACGGUGAAAAUCUACUGCCUCUUGGAUGAACAGCACAAACAAAUGGCCACUUGAAAACAAAGUCUUAUGCUAUCACUCUCUUAGAAACCAGAAGGAGAAAGUGGAGCAACUAAAAGCAGCUCAGCUGAAGUGAAGGAGGGUCACCAGCUUCAGCUCGAAUGUCGUGUGAUGAGAGAURGAAAUACGAUUGUGUAUGGUGUGAUCAUAGAACAAAGGCCAUAAGUUUCAGAGUUUGAAAACCUUACGAGAAGAAGGCAAAAACCUGAACCAGGACCAGAGGUUCCCCGUCCGGUGGUCCCAGGGGACCAGGUCUGCAUCUGUGUGUUCUGGAGGAGGUGGAGCAGGCCAAGGCGAGAGGGUCCCUACAAGGUGGUCCUAGCAACACGAACAGCCAUCCAGGUGGAAGGAAGCACCAUCUGGUACCAUCUAAACCACUGCACCAAAGCACCAAGGGUGAGCGAACGACCAUUGAGCCUGAAGGGAACGGAAAGGAAAAGAUGCUGAUACUCCAGGCAGGAGUCCGGAGGGAACAGAAGGAGAGGAUGCUAAUACACCAGGCAGGAGCCUGGAGGAAACAGAAGAAGAGGACCACGGCGCAACUCCCAAUAGUCAACAGAUACACUCGCCUGAAGAUCCAGGGAUGGGGAGGAGGGACAUGCCUGUUACUCCUGAUGACAUACCUACUCUGGCAGAUAUCCGUGACAAAGGCGAGGGGGGACGGCGAAACAACGACAGGAGAAUGGGAAGGAGACUUCCCUACCAUCGACUUCUCUGCCCUCACAUGGUCCUCCUAACAGACAGUGGAAACCAGGACAGAUGAAGAGCGGUAGAACGGCCUUGACUGCAACAGCGCCAAACCUAGAAGAAAUUGUAAAAACACCUCCCACUAGUACACCAACUAAGACAAUGGUAAAACCACAAGAAAGUGGGUUGCGACAGAAAAUCUGGACCUCUGUUACCAACUGGGGUAGCCAAAAUGAAGAAACUACCCCAGAAUCAAAAAAUUGACUCAAUAUUAAAAGUAUAUAACCAUAUACUCAAUGUAACAGUUGCUGAAUGAUAAAUKAUGUUAGACCUUCUGAAUAUCUGUUCGCCUAGACAUGUAUGUGACAUAGGGUUUUCCAGUUACAAGAGUCCAUGUACCUUGCCCUUGAUUCUUUAACAGGUUUUUUCACUUAUGACCAAACAGUUUGUGAGGGAGAUCAAUAAGGUUAUGUGUCAUAUUGAGAACGAGAGAGCUUUUUAUGUCUCUAUUUUGGUUUGGUCAGGGUGUGAUUUGGGUGGGCAUUC